CUAACGAGAGGCAGGUGUUUACUAGCCUCGAGCGGUCGACAUUUCUCUGAUCUAUGACGUAGUUUUUAUUUCUUCACUUGUUAUUUCACAAAGUCAUGUCUAACGUGUCUCACAUCAAUGUUUAUAGCUCAACUGGGGCAGAAGUUCUGCACCACAGUGUUUUCGGCAAGAUUGGUCUGCUGCUGGAUGAAGCUGUUGGACUCAACUCAACAUCUUCUACAGCAACUACCAGGAGGUUACCAAGCAAACAGCAGAGACUCCAGGAAGGAGACUCCAAGCAAAAAUAUUAUUAACAUGGCUUCAGAC